rnacentral:rRNA from 1 species
GGAUGCGAUCAUACCAGCACUAAAGCACCGGAUCCCAUCAGAACUCCGAAGUUAAGCAUGCUUGGGCGAGAGUAGUACUAGGCUGGGUGACCUCCUGGGAAGUCCUCGUGUUGCAUCCC